GACGAACGCUGGCGGCGUGCUUAACACAUGCAAGUCGAACGGAAAGGCCCUGCUUUUGUGGGGUGCUCGAGUGGCGAACGUGUGAGUAACACGUGAGUAACCUGCCCUUGACUUUGGGAUAACUUCAGGAAACUGGGGCUAAUACCGGAUAGGAGCUCCUGCUGCAUGGUGGGGGUUGGAAAGUUUCGGCGGUUGGGGAUGGACUCGCGGCUUAUCAGCUUGUUGGUGGGGUAGUGGCUUACCAAGGCUUUGACGGGUAGCCGGCCUGAGAGGGUGACCGGCCACAUUGGGACUGAGAUACGGCCCAGACUCCUACGGGAGGCAGCAGUGGGGAAUAUUGCACAAUGGGCGGAAGCCUGAGGCAGCAACGCCGCGUGCGGGAUGACGGCCUUCGGGUUGUAAACCGCUUUCGCCUGUGACGAAGCGUGAGUGACGGUAAUGGGUAAAGAAGCACCGGCUAACUACGUG
rnacentral:rRNA from 1 species